GCAACAGAGAUAUACCGCCCACUAUGUGGGUAAGGGUGGAAAGGUGAGGUAAGAGCUCACCGGGAUGCAGGCGACUGCAUUGCCAUGUAAACCCUAUCCGAUGCAACACCGUUUGGUUUCGAAGAAUGAUAUGCGUCUGCUCGGCGUGUUCUUCGUUAAUAGGUGGCUUCAGCCAUUGUGGCGACACUUGGCGCAGAUAGAUAACCACGUAAACAGAACUCGGCUUAUAGGCUUGGUCAUUAU
rnacentral:RNase_P_RNA from 1 species